UGGGGAAUUGUUCACAAUGGGCGCAAGCCUGAUGACGCAACGCCGCGUGGAGGAUGAAGGUCUUCGGAUUGUAAACUCCUGUUGCUCGGGACGAAAAGCCUCGACCUAAUACGUCGAGGUCUGACGGUACCGAGUGAGGAAGCCCCGGCUAACUCUGUGCCAGCAGCCGCGGUAAUACAGAGGGGGCAAGCGUUGUUCGGAAUUACUGGGCGUAAAGGGCGCGUAGGCGGCCUGCUAAGUCGAACGUGAAAUCCCCGAGCUCAACUCGGGAACUGCGUCCGAUACUGACAGGCUUGAAUCCGGGAGAGGGAUGCGGAAUUCCAGGUGUAGCGGUGAAAUGCGUAGAUAUCUGGAGGAACACCGGUGGCGAAGGCGGCAUCCUGGACCGGCAUUGACGCUGAGGCGCGAAAGCUAGGGGAGCAAACGGGAUUAGAUACCCCGGUAGUCCUAGCCCUAAACGAUGAAUGCUUGGUGUGGCGGGUAUCGAUCCCUGCCGUGCCGAAGCUAACGCAUUAAGCAUUCCGCCUGGGGAGUACGGUCGCAAGGCUGA
rnacentral:rRNA from 1 species